rnacentral:rRNA from 1 species
GUCUAUGGCCAUAGCACCCUGAGCCUGAUCUUGUCUGAUCUCAGAAGCUAAGCAGGGUUGGGCUUGGUUAGUAGUUGGAUGGGAGACUGCCUAGGAAUACAGGGAACUGUAGCGG